rnacentral:rRNA from 1 species
GCCUACGGGAGGCAGCAGUGAGGAAUAUUGGACAAUGGGCGAAAGCCUGAUCCAGCCAUGCCGCGUGUGUGAAGAAGGCCUUUUGGUUGUAAAGCACUUUAAGCGAGGAGGAGGCUACUUGGAUUAAUACUCUAGGAUAGUGGACGUUACUCGCAGAAUAAGCACCGGCUAACUCUGUGCCAGCAGCCGCGGUCAUA